UAUGCUCCAUGGCGAUAGUUCCUCGUUUCGGGACACCACGUGAUGAUCGGGUGUGAUAGACUCUACGUUCACAUACAACGGAUGCAAGACAGUCUUGCACUGUCACAACCCUAGUUUAGCUUUGAUUGUCAUUGCUUUUCAUGCAUGCAUUUUUAUUUUUAUUUUGAAUUUGAAAUGAGAAGUGAUCAGGCCUCAGAAAUUAUUUUAUCAAAUAAGCCAAAUAAAAAUUGCUUAAAAUAAUUCCAAGAAAAUGUCCCUCGUAUUCUAAGGAAAUAUUUGCAUGAGGUAAAAUUCAAAUCAAUAUUUUUGGAAUCACAGAAGCAUUAAUAUUGGGACUUUUAUUUAAAAUAAUUAUAAUUUUACUUGGAUAUAUAUUUGUUAUAUACUAAGUAUAUAUCCAGUAAUUCUAGUAUUGUUGUGUGGCACUCGCUAAAUCCAUUUGGUUUACAUGUCAAUUUGCAGGAUUUAUUAAAGUGGUUUUAUAUUUGUUUUAACCAGAACAAAUGACACAAAGAUAGAAAAACUGAAAUAAGUAAAAGAGAGAGAGAGAAUAGAUACCUAGCGCUCACCGGCCCGGCCCAGCUCACCAGGGGCACCCCUGUCUUCUUCCUCUUGCCAGGAGGCAGAGGAAAAGCACAGGACGGCGCCCGUGGCCUCACGCCAUGCCGGCAGCAGGUUCGCUGCUCCCUUGGCCAGCGCGAUGAUGGGGAUGAGUACCCCCGUGCCGUAUGGAUCCGCCUCUCCUCCCCAUUAUUCUCCGUACUUUCUCCCUCUUCAUCUGUCUCUCUCUUCCGC
rnacentral:lncRNA from 1 species